rnacentral:rRNA from 1 species
UACGUAGGGGGCAAGCGUUGUCCGGAAUCAUUGGGCGUAAAGAGCGCGUAGGCGGCCCGAUAAGUCCGCUGUGAAAGUCAAGGACUCAACCCUUGAAUGCCGGUGGAUACUGUCGGGCUAGAGUCCGGAAGAGGCGAGUGGAAUUCCUGGUGUAGCGGUGAAAUGCGCAGAGAUCAGGAGGAACACCGAUGGCGAAAGCAGGUACCUGGACCAUUACUGACACUCAGCUGCGAAAGCUAGGGGAGCAAACAGG